rnacentral:rRNA from 1 species
CCUACGGGGGGCAGCAGUGGGGAAUAUUGCACAAUGGGCGAAAGCCUGAUGCAGCAACGCCGCGUGAACGAAGAAGGCUCUUGGGUCGUAAAGUUCUGUUCUGAGGGAAGAAGAAAGUGACGGUACCUCAGGAGAAAGCCCCGGCUAACUACGUGCCAGCAGCCGCGGUAAUACGUAGGGGGCAAGCGUUGUCCGGAAUUAUUGGGCGUAAAGAGUACGUAGGCGGUCUGUUAAGCGCAAGGUGAAAGGCAUAGGCUCAACCAAUGUGAGCCUUGCGAACUGGCAGACUUGAGUGCAGGAGAGGA